CUCUCUUUUUUCAAUUUCUUUCUGCUUUUCUCUCUCUCCCUCUCCACAGAUCGAUCUUCUCUCCCUUUUUUCAAUCUUCCACAGCCAGCAAUGGCGGACAGAAAGAAAUCUAAGAAACCCACAAACAACAACAUCGAGCAUGUAAUAACCGAGUUUUGUCUUCUUUAAGCAAAGUGAAAUGGUGGCAAACACCUUUGAUUUAAAGGUAGGGUAUUCCGUGAUUUAAGCAUUAGUGGAUCAAUCAAGACCGGUGCUUUAUUUGCUUACGUGUUUAUGCAUAAUUGAAAAUCAUUCAACAAAGAAAGCAGAAGAAAUCUCACUCUCUCUCUCUCACGGCCGAACCCAGCAAAAACAGAGCACGGAUUCUUCGAUCUCUCUCUCCCUCCUCAGGCCACCUCAAGACGUCGAACCACCUCUAUUAGCCUCGCCUAGACCUUGCACUGCUGCAGUGGCAUCCUUGCACCGCGGCACAACCGGAAAACGGCGGCGGAAACACGGUUUCGUUUUAAAACCCGAUUGGGUCCAAUUGUGAUAACUCGAGCUACAGGCCAUCAAUCCUCACCAAACUUCAUCCUCGAGCUCGCCUCAACUUCCUGAAGCUCCCAGAAGCAGCCUCACACGGCGGCGUGGCCCGUAGCAGUGGCUACAAGUCAAACCCAACCAAGAACGAAACCGGAGCUAUCGAUCCAAAUAUCUUGAGCUACAGGAUGUCGUUUUGAGUGAUUCUUGAACCAGUGAGCUCGCCUUGAAGUUCUGAACAACUCUCCAGAAGGAAUCGAAGCGUUUCGUUGAAGUUUUUACGUCGGAAUUCAAGCUCGCCGGAUUCUGGAAAUUUUCCGGCCACCGACGCUUUCGAUCAAGAUAUCUUGAGCUGUAGAGCUUCGUUUUGAGUGAUUCUUGAACCAGUGAGUUCGUCUUUAAGUUCUGAACAAGUCUCCUGAAGGAAUCGAAGCGAAAGGAGGACAUUUUUACGUUGAUCGGAGCUUCGCCGGCUUCUGCAAAUUCUCGCCGGUUUUUGGAAAAAUUCCGGCCACCUCGACUGUUUUAGGUGAUUGACGGUCUUCCUUGGGUGAGCGAUUUCGGUGUGUAUUGUGUUGAAUUGAAGACGCAGCGGGAAUAUCGAGCGGGUAAUCCUACAGGUCAGGCGAAUCGGGAAGGUGAUCGAGCUGCUUAGAGAAAUUGCAUUGGGUAAAUCUGGAUUUAUAUUGUGAGGUUUAUUAUGCUCUUUUGAGUAUUGUAAAUUAAGUUGUGAGAGUGUGAUGUAAUAAGUAAAUUGAAGAUUGGUUUUUGUAAUAUUGAGAGGUGUGAAGUGUGGUUGUUUGUGAGAAAAAAAUUCAGGACGUUAUUUGUAUUGAUGUUAAUCAUGUUUCGGAUUUGAAUUGAUUAUUCAAAAUUCGGGGCGUGACAGAGCACCUCAAGACUGACAUAGCCUCAUUCGCUUCCUCCCUCGGCCUCUCUACCUCUCUCCCUCCCUCUGAUUCUUCAGGCUUCAACGAUGUCGAUUUCCGCAACCCCAAAAAACCCCAGAACCGGAACACCCAGAAUUCCAAACCCCAAAAUCGAAACACCACCCAGAACUUCAAACCCAAUGAAAGGCCCAAUCUUUCGAAACCCCCUUUUCCUUCACUCCCUGAUGUCACCAGCAACAGUGAAAAAGCAAAGACCUUUGAGAAUCUUCCGAAGCUGCCGUUGAGUUCAGCCACCAACAUUGGAGUUUGGUACGAAGAAGCUGAAGAAUUGGAAGGCAAAGUGGUCGGGAAGAUGAAGAAAGCCGAGGCAAGGAGUGGAGUGGUGAGGUGGCCAAGAAGAGAAAGCUUGGAGAGAGGUUGAUGGCACAGUACACGGCGGAUUACGAGGCUUCGAAAGGGAAGAGUGGGGAUAUCAAGUUGUUGCUGACCACACAGAGGUCAGGGACUGCUUCUGAUAAGAUUUCGGCGUUUUCGGUGUUGGUUGGGGAUGAUCCCAUUGCCAAUUUGAGGUCUUUGGAUGCACUUUUAGGUAAUCUUUUGUUUGCUGAUAUGUGUUACAUUUUGCGGAAGACUAAGUUACUUGAAAAAGAUAGAGAAGAUCAAUCUGUGGAGAGGGAGAGAGAGAAAAGCAUAAAGAAAUUGAAAAAAGAGAGAGAAGAUCGAUCUGUGGAGAGGGAGAGAGAGAAAAGCAGAAAAAAUAAAUAAAAAAAGAGAGAGAAAUUGAAAAAAGAGAGAGAAAAAAAUAAAAAAAGGAUCUUGGGAGUAGAAUAGUCAUUUUAGACCUGUUUUGGACUUGUUGUGUGAGAAUUAGAAAGAAUAAGGACUAUCUAGUUUAAUUUGAAAGGCGAGGGACUAAACUGUUUUUCAGGCAAAAGUUUGAGGAGUAACAAGUAUUUAUUUAUCUAUAUACUAUAAUUAAA